rnacentral:snRNA from 1 species
GCGCUCACUUUGGCAGCACAUAUAAACUGGAACGAUACAGAGAAGAUUAGCAUGGCCCCUGCGCAAGGAUGACACACAAAUUCGUGAAGCGUUCCAUAUUUUA